AAAACUUUCAAGACAAGAUUUGUGGAAAAAUAUUUUUAGGUUCAGACACAUUUGAAGUUUUAUACGUUAUCUAGAAUUAAGCCAGCUGAUCUUCGAACAACUGGCCCAUGAUCUCGAAUUUAAAUGCAUGCAUGACUGCAUGUAUCGUAUUUCCUUUUUUUAGUCCCCCGGGGGGACUGGAGGAGGGGCUAAAUAUUAGUUCGCGACCAUUGGCAUUGCCAAGAGUAAUGGUGUUGUUGCCGUAGAGAUUAUAAAUAACACUAGAGGAGGCAUCGUAAUUUUAAUUCAGUCAAAGAAAGGGAACGUGGCUAUUGGGGGGGAUUUAAAUGAAAUACUAAAAUAAGAGCGAGUUUGAACCAAAAUCUCUAAGUUCUUGUUUAUGGCAGUUAAGUAGUUCCGUUUUGAUUUUUACCAAGCAUUUUUACCUCAAUUUUGUCUAUAACACAUUUUUGAGAGCGCUCCAAAAUAAUGCUGAUGUCAGCAAUUUU